AUGAACGCUGGCGGCGUGCCUAAUACCUGCAAGUCGAGCGAACGGACGAGAAGCUUGCUUCUCUGAUGUUAGCGGCGGACGGGUGAGUAACACGUGGAUAACCUACCUAUAAGACUGGGAUAACUUCGGGAAACCGGAGCUAAUACCGGAUGAUAUUUUGAACCGCAUGGUUCAAAAGUGAAAGACGGUCUUGCUGUCACUUAUAGAUGGAUCCGCGCUGCAUUAGCUAGUUGGUAAGGUAACGGCUUACCAAGGCAACGAUGCAUAGCCGACCUGAGAGGGUGAUCGGCCACACUGGAACUGAGACACGGUCCAGACUCCUACGGGAGGCAGCAGUAGGGAAUCUUCCGCAAUGGGCGAAAGCCUGACGGAGCAACGCCGCGUGAGUGAUGAAGGUCUUCGGAUCGUAAAACUCUGUUAUUAGGGAAGAACAUAUGUGUAAGUAACUGUGCACAUCUUGACGAUACCUAAUCAGAAAGCCACGGCUAACUACGUG
rnacentral:rRNA from 1 species